AUGUAGCUCAGCAGGCAGAGUACUUGCCUUGUAUACAAGAAGCCCCGGGUUCAAUUCCCUGCAU
rnacentral:tRNA from 1 species